UUGACAGUGCUUGGAAACCAAACCCGCUAUUAUCCAUGCAUCAAGUAUAGCAGAUAACAAAUACUGCUUUGCUCUACCAAUGUGCUCCAACCCUGACUUGGAGGCACCAUCUGUAGAGAAGAGAGGGUAAUUCAUUCUCCUUCCCAUAAUGGUUUCA
rnacentral:sRNA from 1 species